AUGAACAUCCACGAUGAUGAGAUCAUAGAAGAAAUGAACCUGCUCAUCUUGACGAGUAAUCGGCACGGCAAUAGCUAUAACCGUGGCAGCGUCCCCCAGUCUGUUUCAGGUGAAGUGGUGCUUGCUUUAUUGCUGGGAAUAAUUAAGCUUAUUGCAUCUACAAGUGGGACAACAUACAAGUUUAUGCUUAAACUUGACCAUUUUGUUUGUAUUUUUCCUUCCGUUGCAAUGCACGGGCAUUUUUGCUAUAAUAAUAGAGAGCUAUUGCUUCUUACCACCAUAAUUUCGUCCGUUUUCGGUCCAUCCGUCGUCCGUCCACUUAUUAUUUUCUAUAUCCGAGAUGGUACUAAUCUAUCUGAGCCACUUUCGUCCGUACGUAAACAAAAGCUUCAUUUGUUUGUUCCCUGCCGUGCAGGAUGUGUAUUAGGCCUGCCCUACACUCUUUUGGGCCUCAGCCACGGCCAAUCUAGCACUCUUCCAAUCUCAAAAAUACUAACACGUCAAGCUUCACCAAGGCCCAAGUGGGCUCCUAAUCAGCCUUUUCAUGUUAAUUUAUUCAUUAAAAAGAUAGUCCCACAUCGCUUUGUAACAAUAAAUCCCACCAGUUUAAAUAUGUGA
rnacentral:rRNA from 1 species